UACAGAGGGUGCGAACGUUGCUCGGAAUCAUUGGGCGUAAAGCGCACGUAGGCGGCGCGUUAAGUCGGAUGUGAAAGCCCCAGGCUCAACCUGGGAAGUGCAUACGAAACUGGCGCGCUUGAGUAUGGAAGAGGGUCGCGGAAUUCCCGGUGUAGAGGUGAAAUGCGUAGAUAUCGGAAGGAACACCUGUGGCGAAAGCGGCUCACUGGGCCAUAACUGACGCUGAAGCACGAAAGCUAGGGGAGCAAACAGG
rnacentral:rRNA from 1 species